CCCACCCACCCACCCACCAUCAAUAUUUAUAUUUUAGAACAGGUGACAAUUAAGAGACAAUGUUGAUAUUUAACACCCAACACUUACUAGUGUAGCCCCGCGGUUACAGGUAUGUGGAAAACACUGUAUUUGUCAAAAAAAAAUAAGAUAUGUUGAAAAACGAGACAUACAGCUUAAGGACGAUUAUUUAACAUCACUAUUUUGACAUGUUCUCAAUGUGUAUUAAAAAUAUCAGUAAAAACAGCAAAAGAGUUGCUACUGUCAGAACAGUUGUUUUUUCAUGACUAUGUUAUUUUAUUUACUUUGAUAUGAUGCAGCCAAUAUUAUUUGCGAAUGUGACGGGUAACUGGUAUAGAGUCAACGUUCUGGGACUGGUUACUGUCAACUAACCACUACAGAUUCACCUUACUGGGACUGGUUACUGGCCACUAACUGGUAUAGAGUCACCUUACUGGGACUGGUUAAUGGCCACGAACUGGUAUAGAUUCACCUUCCUGGGACUGGUUACUGUACACAAACUGGUAUAGAUUCACCUUACUGGGACUGGUUAAUGGCCACGAACUGGUAUGGAUUCACCUUUCUGGGACUGGUUACUGUCCACUAACUGGUAUAGAGUCACCUUUCUGGGACUGGUUACUGUCUACUAACUGGUAUAGAGUCACCUUUCUGGGACUGGUUACUGUCUACUAACUGGUAUAGAGUCACCUUUCUGGGACUGGUUACUGUCCACUAACUGGUAUAGAUUCACCUUACUGGGACUGGUUACUGUCCACUAACUGGUAUAGGUUCACCUUACUGGGACUGGUUACUGUCCACUAACUGGUAUAGAUUCACCUUACUGGGACUGGUUACUGUCCACUAACUGGUAGAGUCACCUUACUGGGACUGGUUACUGGCCACUAACUGGUAUAGAUUCACCUUACCGGGACAGAGUACUGGCCACUAACUGGUAUAGAGUCACCUUACUGGGACUGGUUACUGUCUACUAACUGGUAUAGAUUCACCUUUCUGGGACUGGUUACUGUCCACUAACUGGUAUAGAUUCACCUUACUGGGACUGGUUACUGUCCACUAACUGGUAUAGAGUCACCUUACUGGGACUGGUUACUUCCCACUAACUGCUAUAGAUUCACCUUUGUGGGACUGGUUACUGCCCAUUACUGGUAUAGAUUCACCUUUCUGGGACUGGUUAAUGGCCACGAACUGGUAUAGAUUCACCUUUCUGGGACUGGUUCCUGUCCACUAACUGGUAUAGAUUCACCUUCCUGGGACUGGUUACUGGCCACUAACUGGUAUAGAUUCACCUUACUGGGACGGGUUACUGGCCACUAACUGAUAUAUAUUCACCUUUCUGGGACUGGUUAAUGGCCACUAACUGGUAUAGAGUCACCUUUCUGGGACUGGUUACUGGCCACUAACUGGUAUAGAGUCACCUUACUGGGACUGGUUACUGUCCACUAACUGGUAUAGAUUCACCAAACGGGGACUGGUUACUGUCCACUAACUGGUAUAGAUUCACCUUACUGGGACUGGUUACUGGCCAGCAACUGGUAUAGAUUCACCAAACGGGGACUGGUUACUGUCCACUAACUGGUAUAGAUUCACCUUACUGGGACUGGUUACUGGCCAGCAACUGGUAUAGAUUCACCUUACUGGGACUGGUUACUGUCCACUAACUGGUAUAGAUUCACCUUACUGGGACGGGUUACUGUCCACUAACUGGUAUAGAGUCACCUUACUGGGACUGGUUACUGUCCACUAACUGGUAUAGAUUCACCAAACGGGGACUGGUUACUGUCCACUAACUGGGACUGGUUACUGGCCACUAACUGGUAGAGAUUCACCUUACUGGGACUGGUUACUGGCCACGUACUGGUAUAGAUUCACCUUACUGGGACUGGUUACUGUCCACUAACUGGUAUAGGUUCACCUUUCUGGGACUGGUUACUGGCCAUUAACUGGUAUAGAUUCACCUUACUGGGACUGGUUACUGUCCACUAACUGGUAUAGAUUCACCUUACUGGGACUGGUUACUGUCCACUAACUGGUAUAGAGUCACCUUACUGGGACUGGUUACUGUCCACUAACUGGUAUAGAUUCACCUUACUGGGACUGGUUACUGGCUACUAACUGGUAUAGAUUCACCUUACUGGGACAGGUUACUGUCCACUAACUGGUAUAGAGUCACCUUCCUGGGACUGGUUACUGUCAACUAACUGGUAUAGAUCACCUUACUGGGACUGGUUACUGUCCACUAACUGGUAUACAUUCACCUUACUGGGACGGGUUACUGUCCACUAACUGGAAUAGAGUCACCUUACUGGGACUGGUUACUGUCCACUAACUGGUAUAGAUUCACCAAACGGGGCCUGGUUACUGUCCACUAACUGGGACUGGUUACUGGCCACUAACUGGUAGAGAUUCACCUUACUGGGACAUGUUACUGGCCACGAACUGGUAUAGAUUCACCUUUCUGGGACUGGUUACUGGCCACUAACUGGUAUAGAUUCACCUUACUGGGACUGGUUACUGUCCACUAACUGGUAUAGAGUCAUCGUUCUGGGACUGGUUACUGUCCACUAACUGGUAUAGAUUCACCUUACUGGGACUGGUUACUGUCCACUAACUGGUAUAGAGUCACCUUACUGGGACUGGUUACUGUCCACUAACUGGUAUAGAGUCACCUUACUGGGACUGGUUACUGUCCACUAACUGGUAUAGAUUCACCUUACUGGGACUGGUUACUGGCUACUAACUGGUAUAGAUUCACCUUACUGGGACAGGUUACUGUCCACUAACUGGUAUAGAGUCACCUUCCUGGGACUGGUUACUGUCAACUAACUGGUAUAGAUUCACCUUACUGGGACUGGUUACUGUCAACUAACUGGUAUAGAUUCACCUUACUGGGACUAGUUAUUGUCCACUAACUGGUAUAGAGUCACCUUCCUGGGACUGGUUACUGUCCACUAACUGGUAUAGAUUCACCAAACGGGGACUGGUUACUGUCCACUAACUGGGACUGGUUACUGUCCACUAACUGGGACUGGUUACUGUCCACUAACUGGGACUGGUUACUGGCCACUAACUGGUAGAGAUUCACCUUACUGGGACUGGUUACUGUCCACUAACUGGUAUAGAGUCACCUUACUGGGACUGGUUACUGUCCACUAACUGGUAUAGAGUCACCUUACUGGGACUGGUUACUGUCCACUAACUGGUAUAGAGUCACCUUACUGGGACUGGUUACUGUCCACUAACUGGUAUAGAUUCACCUUUCUGGGACUGGUAACUGUCCACUAACUGGUAUAGAGUCACCUUACUGGGACUGGUUACUGUCCACUAACUGGUAUAGAGUCACCUCACUGGGACUGGUUACUGUCCACUAACUGGUAUAGAUUCACCUUAUUGGGACUGGUUACUUGACACUAAAUGGUAUAGAGUCACCUUACUGGGACUGGUUACUGUCAACUAACUGGUAUAGAUUCACCUUCCUGGGACUAGUUACUGGCCACUAACUGGUAAAGAGUCACCAAACUGGGACUUGUUACUGUCCACUAACUGGUAUAGAGUCACCUUACUGGGACUGGUUACUGUCCACUAACUGGAAUAGAGUCACCUUACUGGGACUGGUUACUGUCCACUAACUGGUAUAGAUUCACCAAACGGGGCCUGGUUACUGUCCACUAACUGGGACUGGUUACUGGCCACUAACUGGUAGAGAUUCACCUUACUGGGACAUGUUACUGGCCACGAACUGGUAUAGAUUCACCUUUCUGGGACUGGUUACUGGCCACUAACUGGUAUAGAUUCACCUUACUGGGACUGGUUACUGUCCACUAACUGGUAUAGAGUCAUCGUUCUGGGACUGGUUACUGUCCACUAACUGGUAUAGAUUCACCUUACUGGGACUGGUUACUGUCCACUAACUGGUAUAGAGUCACCUUACUGGGACUGGUUACUGUCCACUAACUGGUAUAGAGUCACCUUACUGGGACUGGUUACUGUCCACUAACUGGUAUAGAUUCACCUUACUGGGACUGGUUACUGGCUACUAACUGGUAUAGAUUCACCUUACUGGGACAGGUUACUGUCCACUAACUGGUAUAGAGUCACCUUCCUGGGACUGGUUACUGUCAACUAACUGGUAUAGAUUCACCUUACUGGGACUGGUUACUGUCAACUAACUGGUAUAGAUUCACCUUACUGGGACUAGUUAUUGUCCACUAACUGGUAUAGAGUCACCUUCCUGGGACUGGUUACUGUCCACUAACUGGUAUAGAUUCACCAAACGGGGACUGGUUACUGUCCACUAACUGGGACUGGUUACUGUCCACUAACUGGGACUGGUUACUGUCCACUAACUGGGACUGGUUACUGUCCACUAACUAGGACUGGUUACUGGCCACUAACUGGUAGAGAUUCACCUUACUGGGACUGGUUACUGUCCACUAACUGGUAUAGAGUCACCUUACUGGGACUGGUUACUGUCCACUAACUGGUAUAGAGUCACCUUACUGGGACUGGUUACUGUCCACUAACUGGUAUAGAGUCACCUUACUGGGACUGGUUACUGUCCACUAACUGGUAUAGAUUCACCUUUCUGGGACUGGUAACUGUCCACUAACUGGUAUAGAGUCACCUUACUGGGACUGGUUACUGUCCACUAACUGGUAUAGAGUCACCUCACUGGGACUGGUUACUGUCCACUAACUGGUAUAGAUUCACCUUAUUGGGACUGGUUACUGGACACUAAAUGGUAUAGAGUCACCUUACUGGGACUGGUUACUGUCAACUAACUGGUAUAGAUUCACCUUCCUGGGACUAGUUACUGGCCACUAACUGGUAAAGAGUCACCAAACUGGGACUUGUUACUGUCCACUAACUGGUAUAGAGUCACCUUACUGGGACUGGUUACUGUCCACUAACUGGUAUAGAUUCACCUUACUCAGUGCAUCAUUUGUAAAUCGAGAGUUGCCGGAACACACAGUGAGCAAGAGAAGGUUGUGACCUGGGGAGUUGUGAGGUUCCGGAACAGACAGUGAGAAGGUUGUGACCUGGGGAGUUGUGAGGUUCCGGAACAGACAGUGAGAAGGUUGUGACCUGGGGAGUUGUGAGGUUCCGGAACAGACAGUGAGAAGGUUGUGACCUGGGGAGUUGUGAGGUUCCGGAACAGACAGUGAGAAGGUUUUGACCUGGGGAGUUGUGAGGUUCCAGAACAGACAGUGAGAAGGUUGUGACCUGGGGAGUUGUGAGGUUCCGGAACAGACAGUGAGAAGGUUGUGACCUGGGGAGUUGUGAGGUUCCGGAACAGACAGUGAGAAGGUUGUGACCUGGGGAGUUGUGAGGUUCCGGAACAGACAGUGAGAAGGUUGUGACCUGGGGAGUUGUGAGGUUCCGGAACAGACAGUGAGAAGGUUGUGACCUGGGGAGUUGUGAGGUUCCGGAACAAACAGUGAGCACGAGAAGGUUGUGACCUGGGGAGUUGUGAGGUUCCGGAACAGACAGUGAGCACGAGAAGGUUGUGACCUGGGGAGUUGUGAGGUUCCGGAACAGACAGUGAGAAGGUUUUGACCUGGGGAGUUGUGAGGUUCCGGAACAGACAGUGAGAAGGUUGUGACCUGGGGAGUUGUGAGGUUCCGGAACAGACAGUGAGAAGGUUGUGACCUGGGGAGUUGUGAGGUUCCGGAACAGACAGUGAGAAUGUUGUGACUUGGGGAGUUGUGAGGUUCCGGAACAGACAGUGAGAAGGUUGUGACCUGGGGAGUUGUGAGGUUCCGGAACAGACAGUGAGAAGGUUGUGACUUGGGGAGUUGUGAGGUUCCGGAACGCAUAAAAAAAGAUUUCCCCUUCAUUGAAAAGCAUUGCAUUCAUAUCAUUGUAUUUGCAUAUUGGUGUAGGAGCAGUAGAGUAGAGGCACGUACAGAAGUUGCGUACAUGGCGUACAUUUUUAGCUGCAUAAUGUCCUGAAAAAUGUUGGCCUUUUAAUAAACGCAUAUCACGCAA